CGAUUACUAACUAUAAAUAGGGUACUGCAUUGGGUAUUCUAAUCCAUCAAAAAAUAAUUCCAUCUCUUCUUUCUUACAAGUCUCCUAGGUAGUCUGAAUAGUUCUCUUCCUUUCCUUGUUAGGACAAGUCCUAAAAUAGUAAGGAUAAGUCUGAUUUUAGGACAAGGAUCUAGGAAGAGAAUUAGGAAAGGCAAGGAGGAAGAAAGGAAGAGAUAGGAAGGCUAGGGAGAG
rnacentral:lncRNA from 1 species